rnacentral:tRNA from 1 species
GCCGGGGUAGCUCAGCCUGGUAGAGCGCCGGGCUGUUAACCCACGGGUUCGAAGAAUAGCCUGGCAGACACCCGGUGGUCCGGGGUUCAAAUCCCCGCCCCGGCG